UGAGAUCACCUCGGAAGAGUACAUGGACAGAGAAGGCAGCCAUCCUGAGUGGCCCUUACAUUUAGGGGAGUUAUGCAGAGGGAGGUCAUAUGGAAUACUGAAAAUUAAUAACCAAUGAUUUAAGAAAAACAGCUUGUUCUCAUCCUGGUGCAAAAGUCAGUCCGUGUCCUUCCUUCUGGGGAGCUGGGCUGCUGAAUGACCAACAGCAACUGCAGCAACACUGAGGAAUCCAGCUUCUGCCCUCAAAAAGUAACCAGGGUUACCUCUCCAUAUUUUUCUCAAAUGACACCAAUUUUACAAUCGGGGAGUCAAACUGCCCUUCACUUUGCCACCACCAGCAGAAUUCAUCAGCCAUCCAGCUCCACUGAAGAACUCCAGUCAUUUUCUGAGACUGUUUGGUUAAAAGUGGACACCACUUACUAUAUGAAACUCAGAAAGUA